rnacentral:misc_RNA from 1 species
AACGCACCUUGCACCCCGUGGUAUUCCGCGGGGUACGCCUGUUUGAGUGUCACGUUCAUCCUCGCAUCAAAGACUUUAUUGACUUUGAUACGGAUUUGGAGGUCUGCCGUAGUCGGCUCCUCUUGAAAUGUAUUAGCUGUCUAAGGAUUGCGCAUGAGUGUGAUAAUUCCAUGUCUCGCAUGUGCACAGUCUGGUGAAGGCUCAUAAAGCACCCUAAUUUUUGUGACUUUGGCCUCAAAUCAGGUGGGACUACCCGCUGAACUUAA